rnacentral:lncRNA from 1 species
UUAACUUCAGAUCAAACUGGGCCGUACGUUGCUCCUGGACUGAAAUUCAGUGUGCGUGUGUGCGUGUGUGUGUGUGUCCCCCUCAGGUGAAGCUAUGCUGGGACGAUCUGACGGCUGCUCACUGCGUCCAAUCAGCAGCCACUCAAAGCGCCUCCAGUCCCAUCCAGCUGGAUUUCCCUCAGGCUCAGGGAGCUCAGAUGGAUGCGUGUUUUCCUCCAGGAAGCCUUCCUACACGUCCAGAAUCUGAUAGUCCUGAUCCACAGCUGGACCCACUGCUUGAACCACCGCUUGAACCAGAGCUAAGACCACAGCUGGAACAACAGCUUGAAACACAGCUGGGACCACAGCUGGGACCACAACUAGGACAACAGCUGGGACCACAGCUGGAACAACAGCUGGGACCACAACGAGGACAACAGCUGGGACCACAACUAGGACAAGAGCUUGGACCACAGCUGGGCAUCGUUCUCUCCCAACAGGCCAAGAUGUUACUCCAGCAGAUGCAGACCUUUGGCGAUCUACUGAAGAGUAGAAAACUGAGUCUUGAAAAGCAAACAGAGGGUUUGUGUCACCUCAGUGAAACCUUGGACUCGUUGGUAAAAAGUUUCCUCCUGACGAAUAAGGAGCUACGCCGCCUGAAGAAGCAGCACAGAGCAGACCUGGGUUGUCUUGACCCCACACGGACAUUGAAGGCACAGAUCUACUACUCUGUGUAUCUCAUGAGGAAGCUGAAGAAGUAUCAGGAGCAGCUCUAUGAGACUCCGCCCCCCUCCUUCCCUGUUCAGCAUGUGUGCUCGUCCACUCCACGAACCCCCCCACAGUUUCCAGCUGAUCCUGGUGAGAUGAAGGAACUGAGGUCAACCAGAGAAGGAAGUGACAACGACUACAAACACACACUCACCUCUCACUUCCUCCCACCUCUGAGCGAUGCUCACACACACAUGGAUCAAAGCAGUCAGUCCAGCUGCUUCCCUGGUCCUGUACCCAGCACCACCAGGACCACCACCAGAACCAGAACCAGUAGCAGUAGCAGCAGCAGUAGCAGGAGGAGGAGGAUCAUACCUGGAGAGAGGAGGAGCUCCAAAGUUCAAUCGCAAG